rnacentral:rRNA from 1 species
GUCCACGCAGUAAACGAUGCAUACUAGCUGUUGGCGGUAUAAACUCCGUCGGUAGCGCAGCUAACGCGUUAAGUAUGCCGCCUGGGGAGUACGGCCGCAAGGUUGAAACUCAAAGGAAUUGACGGGGGCCCGCACAAGCGGUGGAGUAUGUGGUUUAAUUCGACGCAACGCGCAGAACCUUACCCAGCCUUGACAUCCAAGGAACCUGCUAGAAAUAGUGGGGUGCCCGAGCAAUCGGGAGCCUUGAGACAGGUGCUGCAUGGCUGUCGU